rnacentral:rRNA from 1 species
GAUGAACGCUGGCGGCGUGCUUAACACAUGCAAGUCGAACGGAAAGGCCCAAGCUUGCUUGGGUACUCGAGUGGCGAACGGGUGAGUAACACGUGGGUGAUCUGCCCUGCACUUCGGGAUAAGCCUGGGAAACUGGGUCUAAUACCGGAUAGGACCACAUUUUGGAUGGUGUGGUGGAAAGUUUUUCGGUGUGGGAUGAGCUCGCGGCCUAUCAGCUGGUUGGUGGGGGAAUGGCCUACCAAGGCGUCGGCGGGGAGCCGGCCUGAGAGGGGGGACGGCCACAGUGGGACUGAGAUACGGCCCAGACUCCUACGGGAGGGAGCAGUGGGGAAUAUUGCACAAAGGGCGCAAGCCUGAUGCAGCGACGCCGCGGGGGGGAUGACGGCCUUCGGGUUGUAAACUCCUUUCGCUAGGGACGAAGCGUUAUGUGACGGUACCUGGAGAAGAAGCACCGGCUAACUACGUG